rnacentral:rRNA from 1 species
GACGAACGCUGGCGGCGUGCUUAACACAUGCAAGUCGAACGAAGUGGCGCACGGGUGAGUAACGCGUAAUCAACCUGCCCUUCAGAGGGGGACAACAGUUGGAAACGACUGCUAAUACCGCAUACUGAUGGAGGGGAUUGCGUCUGAUUAGCGAGUUGGAGGGGUAACGGCCCCCCAAGGCGAUGAUCAGUAGCCGGGUGGAGAGGGUGAACGGCCACAUGGGGACGGGGACAAGGCCCAGAAUCCUACGGGAGGCAGCAGGGGGGAAUCAUCCGCAAUGGACGAAAGUCUGACGGAGCAAAGCCGCGUGAGUGAUGACGGCCUUCGGGUUGUAAAGCUCUGUUAAUCGGGACGCGGUACCGGAAUAGAAAGCCACGGCUAACUACGUGCCAGCCGCCGCGGUAAUAC